AGUGGGAGGAUACAAGGAUGCUGAUGAUAGAAUGUCUAUAUUAGGGUGUAUUCUUAUUCGAUAUAUUGGAAGGGUUCUGAUUAAUCGAUCAAUGGAGGCUGACUACACUGUAGAUGUGUAGGAUGAAUUCUGAUUCUAAUGUUAGUUAUAAAAUUGGAUGUCAUGUCAUUAGAUAUCAUGACAUAGUAGUAUAAAGAUAAUGGCACCAUAGCACUUGCUAAGGAGCCAAGAUCUCACUAGAAGUCCAAACACAUAGAGCAGCAGUAUAC
rnacentral:lncRNA from 1 species